AUUUUAUAUCAGUUGGUUAGGAAAGGCCUCUUUGAUAAGGUGACAAAGCAGAGCCUGAGGGAAAUGAGAGAGCAAGACAUUUGGGUAUCUGUGAGAAGAGCAUUCCAGGCAGAAAGCAGGAAUAUGCAAAGGGUCUAGGAAGAUCCAGGAGGCCAGUGUGGCUGGGGAGGAGUGAAUGAGGGGAAGAGAGAGGAUUAGAUGGGGUGGGUGCAUCAUAUAGGCCAGUAUUUUACAAAUUAUCACACAUUCAAAAAGGGUCACUCUGGCUGCUGAAUGGGCAAGGAUGGAAGCAGUUACCAGGCUAUUUCAGUGGUCCUAAUGAGAAAUACAGACAGCUCAAACUAGGAUCUUAGGGUUGUGUGUGGUGAGAAUUGUCCAAUUCUGGUGUAUUUUGAAGGAUGACCUGUCAUUGCUGAUGGAUUGGAUGUGGUUUUGAAAAGAAGGGGCCUCGAUUAUGGAAAAGAGCAAGAUUUUUCAGUAAUAGCCGAACAAAUGCCUGUAUGUAUCUCUGACGGUGUGGGUGUUCCUAGCACGUGUUGGUGAGUAACUGUGCUACUCUUGGCAAUAGCAAUGUGACAAGAAUGAAAUAGAACUGAUUUAGCUAAUUUUUUCUUCUUCUUUUUCUCCACAAGGGAAUGGAAAUGAACUACCACAUAGUGGAUCAGUCCUUUCUCAGGUCGGUAACAUUACGGGAUCCCCAUUGAAAUGCAAGCUGGACUGGCGGAAAUCAGAUUCCCAUAUUCUCUCAUAAGCUGUAAAUCAAGAUUGAAUGCCUGGAGAGAGACAGAGACAGACAGACACCCCCCUCCCCCGCCCCCCCCAGACAGACUGACUUGUAUCUUUGAGAAAAGAAGGACAUGGAAAAUUGCAGGGUAACCAGACCCUGUCUGAGAGAGAAUUCUUUCUUUGUGCUAACACCAGAGAAAUGCAGGGCUGUCAUGUGAGGAGCAGUUAUACUCUUUGUGUAUCAGGUAAGGCAGAAAAGAGAAGACUAAGGUUUAAGGAAGGGGGGAAUUAGAAGGGGCCAAGUGAUUGAAAUCAACAAAGGGACUGCCAAGAAAUAUGAGAAACGAAGAGGAAGGAAAGACUGAGAGGGUGUUCUGUCAGUAGCAUUUAAAAGAGAGCAAGGAAUGCAAAGUGACCCGCUGUGAAGGAGCCACAAGAUACCAUCUGUAUUCUUUUCCCUGUGAGGCACUUUCUUCUGAAGAGGAUUGUCAUCAUCAAACUCCAGACAGCACUGCACUAUUUUGUUGGUGAUUUUGCUUUUAAAAUGUAGACUAUAAUUUUAAGAGUUGAAU
rnacentral:lncRNA from 1 species